CCCAAAACACCCGAGAAAUUAUACGGAGGCUCGCAGGUCCGGAAAAAAUUUCGGGGAGGGAGACGCGAGAGGGCGAAAUCCGACCGUGCCGCCAUAGACGGCUGACCUCUAUCCCCGAGCCCUAGUGGGUCCGUCGUCGAAUCCCCGCCGCCGCGUCCCCAGGAUCCAGGCCGCCGCCGUCCCCGUGAUCUAGGCCUCAGCGGCAGCCGCUUCCCCCGGAUCCAAGCCAUCGUAGCCUCCGCCGCUUCCCCCGGAUCCAAGACGCGACCGUCUCCAGGAUCCAAGAGCCGCCGCCGUCUCCGGGAUCCAAGAGCCACCGCCGUCCUUGACCUCAAGCCGACGCCAUUAUACUCGACUACGCCCUCCUCCGGCGUCGUGCUGCUAUCCUCGGUCAACUCCUCCUCGGGUCACCUCCAGUAAUUCCCACCUCCCUCUCUGGAUCCAACAUCAGUUCCAGCAGGUUUUGCUGCUGGUUGGGCUUCGGGUUCUGCUGCAGGUUUUGCUACAGGUUCUUCUGGAAGUUUUGCUACAGGUUCUUCUGGAAGUUUUGCUUCAGGAUCUACUAGAAGUUCUGCUGCAGCUGCUGCAAUGUUGAUUGCCAUGGCAGUCUAUGCAUUAAAAAAAAAGGGGGGGGGGGGCAGGUAUUACUGCUUCUUGGCUGAUAUGGCAUUCUAAAGUAGUUGGAACGAUGUUAGCUAUAUUUAAAUGAUUAAAUCCAAGAUGAUUGCAAACAUUGUUCAAUUUCAUUACCUGUCCCAAUGUUUCUUCUGUGUGGCGCUACGGUACUGUUUCAUUAUUCACAUCCUCAGUGGCCCUAGCUGCAGCUGCUGUGGCAUCAUGUGUAUCCUCAUUGGCCGUAGGUGCACAUUCUGUUUCAUUGUUGGUUGUAAGGGGAGUCUACAUGCAUGUUUGUAAAAGGGCAGGUAAGUGACCAAAAGUCAUGUAAUCAGAACGAACUGUACAUGCUCACUA